CAGCCCUUCGUCCAACGGCAGGACGCUGGUCGGCCACGACCGGAGACGCGGGUUCGACCCCCGCAGGGCAG
rnacentral:tRNA from 1 species